GUCGGGGGUCAGCGUGGCCAGAGCUUCUUCCGGCCGCUGGGAGCGGGUGAGGCUGCGGCGGCGAUUUUUCCCCUAGUUUAUUAAUGAGAGCAAGGAUACAGCAGGCGUCCCGAGCCGUGGAUGGUCAGUAAGGCGGCCAGCGCCCCGCAGGAACCAUGGCCUAUCAGCUGUACCGGAACACCACGCUGGGCAACAGCCUGCAGGAGAGUCUGGACGAGCUUAUCCAGAAGAACGACUCAAAACUUGUUUUUACACCACUUCAGUCACAGCAAAUCACUCCUCAGCUGGCCCUUCAGGUGCUACUUCAGUUUGAUAAAGCUAUAAACUCGGCACUGGCACAACGAGUCAGGAACAGAGUCAAUUUCAGGGGAUCUCUGAAUACAUACAGGUUCUGUGACAACGUAUGGACAUUUGUACUGAAUGAUGUUGAAUUUAGGGAAGUCACUGAGCUUGUGAAAGUGGAUAAAGUGAAAAUUGUAGCAUGUGAUGGAAAAAAUCAUGUGAUUUAGCAAGAUAUGCUUGUGACUGACUGCAGUAAAGUGCAUAGCACUGAGUUAGAGCAAAGCCUACUCUAUUUUUGGUACCUUGCUAGCAGAUGAUAUGUAUGCACAGCCUUGAAGUUUUGCAGUAGCUCUUCUCGGUAUCACUAAAUGAAGUGAAACAGCACAAGCAGUCCAUGCCUCGCAUCAUAGCAGUAAAGUGAGUUGGACACUGGUUCCAAUGCUGCAGAAUGAAUAGAACUGUGGUUUGCCUGCAAUAUUUUCUGUUAAUACGCAGCACUUUCUGGAGAGAAGCAUGGAAAGGGACUGUGUUUGUACUUGCAUUACUUGCAUCUUGUGAUGCAGAUGUGAGUUAAUCCGUACUAAAAAAGCAUCACAGGAAAACAGUGGAAGAAAUACCUGUAGCAUUUCUUCAGUUCACCAUGUGGGGCAUGAAGAACACAAUGUUACUUCUUUUUUAAAAAGUUACAACGAUACUGUUGCCUUUUUUGUUCAAAAUAAUUUCUCUAAUAAACUUUUA